rnacentral:misc_RNA from 1 species
GUGGCUCAUUCACCUUCUUAUGUCAGCCCCUUCGGGACGCGCUACAUAAACUUCGAAUGACGCACAAAAAGGUGCCUGCCGUCCAACUACUGAUCAUAGCGAUGCUUUAUCAGGCCAGGGCGAAACGUCGAGUUAGGCACCGCCUCAUUCCAUGACAAAGCCGGGUUUUUACCCGGCUUUGUUGU